GCAUGUACUUACAUGUUUUCUAAUAAGUUUCUUCUUGCUUUCAGUUUCUUACUAGAAAACCUUAUAUACUGCAUACAAGUAGAGGACCAAGAAUGGAUGCAUACAAUAGCAGAAAAUAAAGUGACCCUGAAUCCUACCGUGAGGUUUCAAGUGUUCAAUAUGGUAGCAGAACCAAUCAGUAUGUUGUGAUGUGGCCUGGAGGGUGGUGUUGGCUGUCAGAUCGGGCGGACAUGCUUUCUUCUACCGGUGCUUGAUCUUUGAUAGCCUGAGAUGCUUCUCUAAUGCAAAGAAUGCCUAUAUCUUCACAGGGUUUGGCCUUGGUGUGGUGAUGUCUGGGGCAGUCCAUGUGCAUGAUGACAUUCUUCGUGCAACCUGUAAGUACUAUUAGGGAUAGC